CUGCAGGGACUGAAGAAAAUGUUGGUUAUGGCCUCUCUUAUUUAUUGAUGUUUAAAGUGUUGGGAAAGUUUCAUUUCCCCCCAGGAUUGCUUUGCCCAAAUCCGGAGAGUCCUAGCAUGCUUUGUCACAUUUUGCUCAUUUUCUUUGAAGAAAUGAAUGAGCUCCGGUUCCUCUGAUUUGCCCCAUCACACACUCCAAGUCUUGGGGAUGACGUCAUUGUCUCCAGGUUUGAAUCCCUCUAGAUUACACCAUGAUCAGUAACAGAUGGGCCUAAGCUCUUUACAUUGGUUUCUGAGGUUUUCCUGGGGUGGGUAGGUGUGUGUUCCUGGCCAGGUCCUGCUCCCUCCUCUCCUAUCCCCCCACCUUCAGCCUUCCUGAACCCUUAGUCAGGCGGGGCAGGGCUGGCUUCAGCACCUCAGGGCGGCCAUCUUUGCCUCGCCGAGGUCGGGAGGAGGAGGGGAAGAGGGAUGGGGGAAGACAGGCAGGAGCCCCCUCCCACGCCCUGGGAUCAGAGGAAGAGGCAGUUUCUUCUCCUUCCCUCCAGGGUCUGGAGGGGGGGAGGGUCUCUCUGCCCAGGAGAGGCCGGGCUUCCUCCCAUCCUGGAGCCGGAGCCCACGGGAAUGGGAAUGGGGGCGGGGGAGACAGGAGCUCUAAGACAGAAAGAGAAACGCAGGAGACUUUGUUCAGCAUCUCUGUACUCCCCUUCCCCGUGGGGGCGGGGCGGGGCGGGGGAAGAGUUGCUCUCAGUUGUCCCUCUCCUCCUCUUCCCGCUUUCCGGAGGGGUCCCUCCCAAAGCUUACUACGCCCCCUCCACAAUCUUCUCUCUUAGGCCCCUCCCAAUCCCUUCCCCUCCGCCUCCAGCCCUAGAAAGACUGGAUGGGGGAGGUGAUUCCCGUUCAUCUGUGGCUGGAUCCAGUUCCGGGCUUUCCUGCGCCUGACCUCAAGCCCAGCCUCGUCCUCCUCCUGUUUCCGGCCCGAGCGGCUGUCCCCAAGUCCCUUUUCCGCUUCCUCAUAGCGGUGCCCCGCCCUCGUCCCACUUCCAGAGGAGUUCAGCUCCACCUCCUCCUCCAUCAUUCCCGCCCAAGGCCCCAUGACAGACAGACAGUGGUGAGCCCCACCUCCCAGGAGACAUCACAGACCGGUCCUCUCUCCCCUUCCCCUCAGAAUCCUCCCUGGCUAGGGAGUGGCCAGUUCUGUGACGAAGGGACCGCCUGCCAGGCCUUUGGAGUUCUCAGUACCAGAGUAAUUGCAGCCAUAACGUGGACGGGACCUCAGUGGUGCUUAAAAACAGUCAUUGAACAGAGACAGAUUAGUUUGCUCCAAUUUGGGAAACCAGCUAAUCAAAUUUCUCAGGAAGACCAUACUUGAGACAGGAACCUUGACAGCAUUCAAAGGUUUAUGCAAAUAGCAUCAAUAAUAUUGAUCUCCAUCAUAUACCUGGACAACUAGCCAUACCGGUGAUACUUCUACUGUGGCUUUUCCUUUGUGUGCCUUUACUAGGUGAGUAAAAUUCUAUUGUGUUGUUCAGUGCUUUAAGAAAAACUGGAGUUUUUAAUUUAAUAUCUUAUUAGUAUUAUGUUUGCUCUAGGUUUCUUAUGGUGUCUUUUUUCCAAAUUUUAGACUCGGUUUUUCACCAAAAAAUUAUUUUAAACUAUGUUUUUGUCAGUUGACUCCCCAGAGCCAGUGGAAGGAAAUCUUAAAACUUUGAUGGGGUUUUUCUUACUGAAAGUUUUGUCUUUCAGGAUUUGUGAUCUUUGAAACUAUCCGUUUUAUUUAUCCUAGCUAUUGUAAUUUAGCCUUAUUGAUACUGGAUUUCAGGAGGCACAUCGGUCCGUAAGAAGUUAUAAUUUGUCAUUUUUUCAAUGCUUCAGCAUUGUUUGGCAUACAAUGAAUUAAUGACAUCUGAAACAUUAUAAAUGGCAAUGUUCUUCAAAGUGGCCCUUUAAAAAUAGGAAGGAGGACUGAAAUGUGCUCUUUCUCUAAAUAGAAAGGC
rnacentral:lncRNA from 1 species